CCGCUCUUCUUUUUCUUUUGACCUGUUCCGUUUUGCAUCGCUUACUCCUCCUUUUGUGGCAUACUGGGGGGCGGCAAUAAACGGAACAAGUUCCCCGAUAAGUCAUUCUACAGACUACCAGCUGUGGACAAAAUACAGGGACUGAGAGAAAAUAACACGAGAACGCUGAGGUGUGGCGAGCCGGGACAGGCCAGCCAACCACUGGACGGUUCGGCCAACCACUGCCGUCAGCAUAAACCCGUGUUAUUUUCCCUCCUUUCAGUCACUGUGUCUUGUUCACAGCUGGUAGUCUGUAGAAUGACUUAUCGGGGAACUUGUUCCGUUUAUUUCCACAUCCGAGCAUGCCACAAAAGGAGGAGGAAGGGAUACAAAGCGGAACAGGUCAAAAGAAGAAGAAGAGCGGUUUGUUUUGUUGGCCGUCCCAGAGCUUGAGUCUGCUCGGACCGUGCCUAGACUUGACGGGCAGUGCACUGCACCUAGCUAUUGCCAUAUGUUCGGAAACUCACAUGGCGCAGUUCCGCUGGCAAGUAUCAAAAGGAAGAAGUGAAAUGGGGGAGUUGAAUGGCCAGCAUCAGAGGGAACAAGUGGCACGGAGGAGUGGAGUGCUGCUGGGCUGCCACGUGGAAGUGGAGUAGCCGGUCUCAAAAGGAACGAGUCGACCUGACGUUCGGCGUCACAUGGAGGGAGUUCCCUUCCCUGGCCCCAUCAAUAACGCCUGCCUCUCCUCCAUCCUCAACAAACUUACUGGGCGACGCAGUGGGCAGCGGUCAGGAUAUGUGUGGAGUCAAUGAGCGAGCCUCCGCAGAACUGCUUGGGCCCGUUGAAGAGAGCGGCCUGUGAGGAGAGAGGCGAGUAAAGCUGUUGCAAGCGAUGCGGGAAGACACUGUCUGUCGGCCACUUGGAACUGCCAUCACGACCGUUAGCCUGCACUGCUGGGAAGACCUAGCAGAGCCUCCCGCUGCUCCUCCCUCCACCCCCUCGGGAAGGUCCUGGUUCACGGGGCGAAUGAAGAUCUCAGGGCCGUCAUACCCCUCAGGGAGUGAGGCUUCGGGGGAAGAACUCAACUCUGAUUCCGCCUCUGAG